UGUGACCUCAAAUCAGGUAGGACUACCCGCUGAACUUAAGCAUAUCAAUAAGCGGAGGAAAAGAAACUAACAAGGAUUCCCCUAGUAACUGCGAGUGAAGCGGGAAAAGCUCAAAUUUAAAAUCUGGCAGUCUCUGGCUGUCCGAGUUGUAAUCUAGAGAAGUGUUAUCCGCGUUGGACCGUGUACAAGUCUCCUGGAAUGGAGCGUCAUAGAGGGUGAGAAUCCCGUCUUUGACACGGACUGCCAAGGCUUUGUGAUGCGCUCUCAAAGAGUCGAGUUGUUUGGGAAUGCAGCUCAAAAUGGGUGGUAAAUUCCAUCUAAAGCUAAAUAUUGGCGAGAGACCGAUAGCGAACAAGUACCGUGAGGGAAAGAUGAAAAGAACUUUGGAAAGAGAGUUAAACAGUACGUGAAAUUGCUGAAAGGGAAACGCUUGAAGUCAGUCGCGUUGGCCAGGGAUCAACCUUGCUUUUGCUUGGUGUACUUUCUGGUCGACGGGUCAGCAUCAAUUUUGACUGUUGGAAAAAGAUCAGGGGAAUGUGGCAUCUUUGGAUGUGUUAUAGCCCUUGGUUGCAUACAAUGGUUGGGAUUGAGGAACUCAGCACGCCGC
rnacentral:rRNA from 1 species